UACGAAGGGGGGCUAGCGUUGCUCGGAAUUACUGGGCGUAAAGCGCACGUAGGUGGCUUGAUAAGUUGGGUGUGAAAUCCCCGGGCUUAACCUGGGAAUUGCAUUCAAGACUGUCUUGCUAGAGUGUGGAAGAGGGAAGCGGAAUUCCAGGUGUAGCGGUGAAAUGCGUAGAUAUCAGGAGGAACACCGGUGGUGUAAACGGCUUUCUGGACCAUAACUGACGCUGAGGCACGAAAGCGUGGGUAGCAAACAGG
rnacentral:rRNA from 1 species